AAAUGGCCAUAAGGUCCCUUCAAGUCAUUUCUCGUCCAUGGUUAGUAACCAAAAAGUGAUUUCCAAACUGGCUGAUUAUCAGACCUUUGAGGAACUUUUAAAACGUACAACUUUCUGUUCCUGUUGAAUCAGAAUCACCAUAGUGGAUCCCUGGAGUUAAUAAUUUUAAGCAAGUUUUUCAGAUAGGUAAGAAGAGGAUCAUAUGAAUGAGCACAAGUAAAAAUGCUCUGAAAGCUUGAAAGGCUAAAGAAAUAUAAGGGUACAAGAAGGCAUAUUUAAUGAGGCAAAUGGAAUCAGGAGCCUAAAGGGAGCUCAGAGUGCCUUAUGGAUGUUAUCUCAUGAAUCCUCCUGACAUCCCUGUGAGACCAGGAGCAAAUACUCUUCUAUCCUAGAGUAGCAGGAGAGAAAAUAAGUGAAGAUAACGUGAAGCAGUGUAGCCAGCUUGUGAUGGACAUCCUCCUUCAUGCCUGGGGCUGGCCAAGUGAUCCACAUCAGGCCAAUGACU